ACCACGCUAAAAAUGCACAUUUUUUUCCUUUAUAGAGGAUGCCACUAGUUUCCUGAAGUUAAUAAGGAUAUCAAAUUAAAGAUCUGAUGAGAACAUGCAAUUUUAAUACUGCUUUAAGAACAGAGAAUUGGGAAGAGCUCAUCUUUUAGUGCCCUCACCUGCUAUCAGACAUGUACAGCAGCCCCAAACAAGCGAGCUCCACAGGUUGUUUGGAGAGGAAGUGUCUCACUCUGGAGCUGCACAGAUGGAACGGUGCUGCUUCCACAGGGAUGUGCUACUCAAAUUUCAAAGGAACAGCAUGGCAAACAUC